UCCUCCUGAAAGACAUGGGUAGUGAGAUGUUCUUACGCAAUCGCGUCUCACUAUCUUGUCUUUCAUGCGGCG
rfam:Trachymyrmex cornetzi contig49850, whole genome shotgun sequence.